ACUACAAAUCUCCACCACCACCAUAUGUCUACAGCUCUCCACCACCUCCUCCAUACUACUCCCCUUCUCCUAAGGUAGAGUACAAAUCUCCACCACCACCAUACGUCUACAGUUUUCCACCACCUCCUCCAUACUACUCCCCUUCUCCUAAGGUUGGAUACAAAUCUCCACCAGCACCAUAUGUCUACAGCUCUCCACCACCUCCCCCAUACUACUCCCCUUCUCCUAAGGUUAACUACAAAUCUCCACCACCACCGUACGUCUACAGCUCUCCACCACCUCCCCCGUACUCCCCUUCUCCUAAGGUUGAAUUCAAAUCUCCACCACCACCAUACAUCUACAACUCUCCCCCACCUCCCUCAUACUACUCUCCUUCUCCUAAGAUUGACUAUAAGUCUCCACCACCACCAUAUGUUUACAGCUCUCCACCACCUCCAACAUAUUAUUCUCCUUCACCAAGGGUAGACUAUAAGUCUCCACCACCACCAUACGUAUACAACUCACUUCCACCUCCAUAUGUAUACAACUCACCACCACCUCCACCGUACUAUUCUCCAUCUCCAACGGUAAACUACAAAUCUCCACCACCACCAUACGUAUACAACUCACCACCAC
rnacentral:lncRNA from 1 species